rnacentral:rRNA from 1 species
CAUUCAUAUCACCUGAAUAUGCCUGAUCUCAUUUGAUAUCAGAAGUCAAACAAGGUCAGGUCUGGUUAAUACUUGGAUGGGGGAUUGCCUGGGAAUACCAAGGAGCAAUAAGGC